rnacentral:lncRNA from 1 species
GUGAGAGAAGGAUCUGGGCUACAGCUGGCGUACCCUGAUGGCGGCUGGGCCUGUGGCUGUGGCUGAAUUAUCUCAGAAGAAAUGAAUUACCUCAGAAAUGAUAAAGGAGGAUUAGGACCAUCCACACCCUUGGUGGAAUGCCUGAGCUCUGGUGGAAGCAAUAUCUGUUCAGACGGAUCUCAGCUCAGUACGCAAGAAAAACCCACCACAAUGGCUUCAAUGAGUAAGGGAUUUAUUUUUCUUCUGUAACUGGGGGUGGACUGUCAUAGCUCACUGACUUCAUCAGGGAUUCAGGCUCCUUUUUUCUUACUCUCUCCGCCUUUCAUAGCACACGGACUUUCAUAACACACAGACAUCUUCCUCAUGGCUGCAAAACGGCUGUGGCGCUUCCAGGCAUCACAUCCGUGUUCCAGGCAGAAAGAAAGGGGAAAGACCAAAACCCUUCUCCUUACAAAGCUUUGCUUUUUAUUUGAGAAUGGAUGGCAAAAGGAUUUUCACCCACGUCCCACUGGCCAGAACUGUCUCACUUGCCCCAUUUAUACAGCUGCAAGGGUUUCUGGGAGAAAAUAUUUUUGACUGAGCACAUUGCUGCUGUGGACAGAAUCAGAGGUUGUUAACAUUAAACAAGAGAGAGAGUGGAAUGCAGAGCAGGAAGGCAAGCAGAAUGUCUGGCACAGUCAGUAGCAAAGUGAGGAGAGAGCUUCGAGAAGAGGGGUCUAAGCAGGAUCCUGGAAGUGAGGUGGGUCUCCAGAGGGAGUGCUGAAGGUAUUUUCAUUUCAGGAGGCAAGAUCUGGAGGAGCGUUGGGAAGGGAAUCGAAAUAGCUCUCAAAUGCCCUCACUGCCACCCACUAAUGGAGACAUGAUCGUUCCCCUUCUGCAGAUGGCAGAAUGAAGUCUUACAGACGCUAACAGGCCCUUGUCACUGUGGUAACUUCCUGAAGCAUUUAUAUACUUGAAUAAGUAGUCAAUACACGUGAUACAAACCUUUUAUUUAAAGCACAAAAGAAUACGUAUUAGUGAAUUUUCCUUCCCAUCGCUGUGUCCCAGCUCUCUUCCCUGGAGGCAACGACGGCUAACAGUUACAGUUGAUCUUCAUUAUUUGCAGAUUCUGUGUUUGCAAAUGUACCUACUCACUAAAAUGCAUUUGUAGCCCCUGAAUCCAUAUGCACAAUGUUUUCAUAGUCAUUUGUGGAUGUGCGUAGAGCCGUGAAACAUUCGAGACCCUCACUGUACAGGUUCCCAGAGAAGGUGGACCGAGGUCUCCGCCUUCUUGUCUCAGUUCUCAUAUUGUAAACAACUGUCCUUUUGGCCGUCUAUUUAGUGCCACAUUUUUUGCACUUUGGUUGGUGAUUUGGCUGUUAAAAAUGGCUCCUAAGCAUCGUGCUGAUGUGCCGUCUGGUGUCCGUAAGCGCAGAAGCUAUGAUGCGUCUUAUGGAAAAAAUCUGUGUUAGAUGAGCUUUCUUCAGGCACGAGCUAUAGUGCUAUUGGCCAUGAGUUCAAUGCUAAUGAAUCAGCAAUAUAUAUUAAAUAAGGUGUCUGUAACCAAAAACUCACAUAAAGCAAGGUUUUGUGUGAAUCGGUUGAUGAAAAUGCAGGAACCUGAGUGUGUUAACCUUUUUUUUUUUUUUCAUUUUCUGUAUUUGUGAUGCUUUGACAUUUGAGAAUGUGCUGAUCCCAGAGAGCCUGCCUCUUCCAGGGCCAGCCAGUUCCUAGAGAUUGAAACAGUAACCUAGGAGUGCACCUCUCUCAUGCAAACCGGUCAGUCUGGAAACCUUCCUUCAAACCACAUCCUUCAACUACCACCUUUGUGGGGCUCCCACAAGUGACCCACAUCCCCCAUGCCCUAGUAUUGCCUCAAGUCCAGGUACCAGACAACUAGUGGCAGCUACACCCUGGAGCCUGCUGAAAUUAUUCCAAUUUGCCAAUCUGAAGGCUGCCUACCCCCAACUGGUUCCUUCCCAAGGAGACCAUAAUAAAGUCCUGUGCCUUCCUUUCUCCUCACUCCUCUGUCUCCCGGCCAACCCUGGUGCUUCCCCAUGUUCCCCCAUGUGGCAUGCUGUGCCUCUGGGUUCCAGGGAUCUGUGUCUAUGAAUCUGUUCCUUCACAACAAUCAUUUCUGUGCCUGCCUUUUUUUUUUUUUU